ACAUGCAAUCCUCCAGAUAGUGAGAUAUUUGAAUUAUUUACCUACGAAAAAGAACGACUCUAUUAUGCAUAUUAAAUAGGCCAAGCUUGCCCUUUCUCAACUUGAAUUACGCUGGUAGAACAUUAAAACAGACUAAAUUUGCAGCAAAUGGACAGGUUUCGUAGAAUUUGAAAUCACGAUAUUUGAUCAACACGGAGUGAAUGCGGGAUGGCAUAAAGUGCAGGGAAAAGAAAAAAUAUAUCAGGAGACUGAGCAACCAGCAUACUUUCUCCUGACAACUAACCCUAUCUUAUUUUUCUUUUAUCUUAAGGAAUCUUAAGGGGCAGAUUUGAAUGUGUUUACAGUAUUCUAGUAUAGCAAAGGUACUACU